UGGGGAAUAUUGCACAAUGGAGGAAACUCUGAUGCAGCGACGCCGCGUGAGCGAUGAAGGAAUUCGUUUCGUAAAGCUCUGUCCAUGGGGAAGAUAAUGACAGUACCCUUGGAGGAAGCCCCGGCUAAAUACGUGCCAGCAGCCGCGGUAAUACGUAUGGGGCGAGCGUUGUCCGGAAUUAUUGGGCGUAAAGGGUACGUAGGCGGUUUCAUAAGUCAGAUGUGAAAGCUUGGGGCUCAACCCCAUAAAGCAUUUGAAACUGUGGAACUUGAGUAGUGGAGAGGAAAGUGGAAUUCCUAGUGUAGCGGUGAAAUGCGUAGAUAUUAGGAGGAAUACCAGUGGCGAAGGCGACUUUCUGGACACAAACUGACGCUGAGGUACGAAAGCAUGGGGAGCAAACA
rnacentral:rRNA from 1 species